AUGUUCAACUGCGAGGACAUGCCGGAGCUGCGCGCCGCCGACUACCCGGACACCUCCGCCGCGCCGCCGCUCUUCCGCUACUGCAAGGACGGCACCUCGGUCGAAGUCCUCUUCCCGGACUGGUCCUUCUGGGGCUGGCCGGAGGUCAACAUCCGUCCAUGGGGGCCGCUCAUGAAGGAGAUCGCCAAGGAGAAUGCGCGGCUCCCCUGGCCGGACAGGGAGCCGUACGCGUUCUGGAAGGGCAACCGCGGCGUGUCGGAAGCGCGCCGCGACCUCUUCCGCUGCAGCAACGACUCCGCCGCCGGCAAAGACUGGAACGCGCGGCUGUUCGCGCUGGACUGGGGCGCCGCCAACCGGAACGGCUUCAAGGGCUCCAACCUGGCGGAGCAGUGCCGGUACAGGUACAAGAUCUACGUGCAGGGGCGGUCGUGGUCGGUGAGUGAGAAGUACAUUCUCGCAUGCGACUCGCCGAUGCUGGCCAUCGACACGCCCUUCGAGGACUUCUUCUCCCGGGGGCUCGUCGCCGGCCGCCACUACUGGCCCGUCGACCCAAAGGACAAGUGCCGCGCCGUCAAGUUCGCCGUCGACUGGGGGAACGCGCAUCCGGCGCUGGCCCAGCGCAUGGGCAAGGAGGGCAGCGGGUUCGCGAGGGAGGAGAUGAGCAUGGACUACGUUUACGACUACAUGCUGCACGUGCUCACCCAGUACGCUGCCCUGCUCCGGUACAAGCCCACAGUGCCGGAGAACGCCGUGGAGCUCUGCCCCGAGUCCAUGGCCUGCUCCGCCCAAGGCCGGGACAGGGAGUUCAUGAUGGAGUCCAGGGAGAUGUAUGUGGCCGGAUACGAGCCGUGCACGUUGCCGCCGCCGUUCACCGCCGAGGAGGAGAGGGAGAUGGCUGCAAGGGAAGAGGAUGUGCGAAGAAAAGUUGUUAAAAUGAAGGGGAGGUAG
rnacentral:rRNA from 1 species